UACGAAGGGGGCUAGCGUUGCUCGGAAUCACUGGGCGUAAAGGGUGCGUAGGCGGGUUUUUAAGUCAGGGGUGAAAUCCUGGAGCUCAACUCCAGAACUGCCUUUGAUACUGAAGAUCUUGAGUCCGGGAGAGGUGAGUGGAACUGCGAGUGUAGAGGUGAAAAUUCGUAGAUAUUCGCAAGAACACCAGUGGCGAAGGCGGCUCACUGGCCCGGUACUGACGCUGAGGCACGAAAGCGUGGGUAGCAAACAGG
rnacentral:rRNA from 1 species